rnacentral:lncRNA from 1 species
UUCGUAACAAGGGGAUCUGAAGAAGUCAAAACCUUGGAGGUUCAGACCCUGCUUUAAAAAGUGAGAUAAAAUUAGGGCCUGAAAGCCAGGCCUUGCCCUCUGCCACCCCAGCUGUAUAUCCAGCACUGAGGCAUUGCGCUGCUGCAUCCGGACUUCUGCAGAAGUUACUUCCUGGGAACCUCUUCUCCCUUCGAGCUUCGCCCCACGCUCCCCAGCUUGUUCCCACAUAUAUCAGAUUAAUGACAUCAAUGCCACCAGUCUGUAUUUGCGGCUGCAAAAAUAGCAAGGUGGUG